UCCAGUCCUCCGUCCUGGGCCCCGGCCCCUCCGUGGCCUUUUCCCCUCGGCCCCUCCGUCGCCUCCGCGGUUCCGCUCGCGGCCGCAUAGUAGUCAGGUCAUCUCACGCCCUCAUCUCCUCCACGCCGAUGCCUGUCCUCUUUCAGCAGAUACGUUGAGGAAAUUAGAGCGCCGUCCUCUGGUUCGUCGCCUCUUUUGCCUCCUUCUGCCGCGGCGGCACAAUCGGCAGCUACCCCUACCAUCUACCACGGGGAUGGUUCCUUGGUUAUGAGCGUCGAGGUGUUGGGAGAUAUCCCAAAGUAUAUAUGUUAAGGUAUGCACACGACGUAUUAUAGUUUAAGUAUUGUUUCAUCUUUGCAGUUACAUGGUAGCAGAUGUUAGCCAGACUUGAAAUAAAAUUUCCUUUUGCUAUCUCUAUAGAGCCAGACCAAUAUUUCACGGCUGUAUGUGUAUGUGCAUAGCCUUAAAUACCAACACAUGUUCAGAUUUCUAAAUGUUAAUAUUCCCUCCAGUUCGAAUUAAGCUUCGGCCUAGCUACUACUUUCUUUCCAUGCAGUCAUCACCAAGUUAAGGCUAUCAGAUUUAAUCCUCUUGCUAUAUGGAGAACACCUUCGUCAUUCAUGUUGUCUUUACAUGGUUGCAGAAAGACAAAAUUUAUACUCGUAAUAUUGUUCCCCUGCAGUGGUGGUAGUAUUUAAAGUCUUUUUUAUUGAUAACCUCACGUAAAUGUUGUCUAGGUCCUACAUCUAUCGAGUUAGUUUCCAUUAUAAGGGUUGCAAGCUUCCAUAUUCUUCUAGUGUUUCUCAUUCUGCUAGACCCUUUAAUCUUAUUCACUCAGAUGUAUAGGGUCCUGCACCUUUUGCUACAAAGCUUGGUUAUACGUACAUAUUAUGUAAUUUUCAUUGAUGAUCAUUCCCGUUAUACUUGGAGUUGUGCUCUAUUUAUCAGUCUUUUGCGCACAUGGUUCAGACUCAGUUCUCUACUCCUAUUAGAGUUUUUCGCUCUAACUCUAGUGGUGAGUAUUUCUCUGAUAUUUUCCACCAAUUUUUGGCCUCUGAGGGCACCCUUGCUCAACUUUCUUGUCCCAGUGCCCAUGCUCAAAAUAGUGUUGUUGAACGCAAACACCACCAUCUCAUUGAAACUACUAGAACAUUUCUCAUUUCCUUAUUUGUUCCAUCUUAUUUUUGGGGCGAAGCUGUUUCUACUGCUGUCUAUCUCAUCAAUAGACAACCCUCAUCCAAACUUUUUGGCAAAUCUCCUGGUGAAGUUAUUAUUCCUCCAAACUAUGAUCAUCUUCGAGUCUUCAUGUACAUGCUAUGUUUUGCUUCCUCUAUAAUACCCGAUUUUGAGAACAAAACCAGAUAUACACCAUAUAUGAGUCUUAGAAUCCAAAUCUCAUACAUAGCUACAAAUGAGGUGUAAUAUCAAAAAACAAUGCAUAAAUUACAUAACGUACUUAGUAUAUCAGAGAUAACCUUUGAUAGCAAACAACGGAAGAUAACUCCAAACUUUGGGUAUUAACUCUACUCUACAGGAUUCAAACUAACUGGUUGAUCACAAGCCCAAAACUUUUCCUGAAGGGUGUGGGAGAAUAGCAAGAGUGAGUCCAUAUCGAACUCCACAAGUAUAGCAACUAGAUUGUAUAGAUCCCACAAUCUCAUGAUCAAUGUGACAUAAAUAAUGUAGAGCAAUAAACAAUAAACAAUGAGUAUAUAUCUUAACACAACAAGAAUCAUCAUCUUUAAUGUAAGAAUCCCCAAGGCCGCUCGUGACCAUGAGCACGGCUAGUAUGCCAGUUUAAUAAACACUCUGCAGAGGCUGUAUAUCUUUACCCAUGAGUCAUGAUUUACCCUUUCGCCCGAGGUGAUCAGCCUCUUAACCCACUACCAAGGAAGGUCGACAGGGAUCACUAUGAAGUCUUUCAAAUGUUCGUCUAACAAGUUAGGACCGCUAGGUUUCAUUAGUCACUUCGUGUGAUUCUACCACGCAGGGAUCCACGUUCUGUUGUCUCCCAUUUGCGCCACGCAGGUAACCUCUAACAAGCUAGAAAAGUUACUCAUACUUGACUAAAGCCAGAGCCAUUAUAGCCCUCAUGGUUGCACUUCAAUCCCGGUUAUCACUUACAGACAAAUCCUUAAGUUGCUAAGAAGUCAUUUUUAUCAUUUAUUGCUUAAACAUUAAUCAAGUCACAAGAUCAUGGUCACAGAAAAGAAAUCCAGAUGCUAUACUUGCCUUAAACUCAUAUCAUUCUUCAAGUCCAAACUUUCAAAGAAUUGUUUCUUGAUUUUCAUCUUCUUCUAGAUCACCAACGCAAAACUCAUCGGCUGGACAUAAUCAUAUAACAUCACACAAGCAUCUAUGCAAUCAUACAUGCAUGAAACAAACAAUAGAACUAAAUUAGAACAAAUACCAAAUAAUAAAAUAGUUUGAAAACUAAUCUACACACAAACAUCAACGUUAGCAUAUUUUAGAUUAUAAAAUUUAGAAAUAUUUAGCAUGUCACUUCUAACAUUUAAAAUACGCUGACCCCAAACUAACGCCAAUUAAAUCAAAGCUAAGAUAAUGAAACUUAUGAGUUUUGAAGCUACAGCUGAUUAAAGAAAAUACCAUACGGUAAAUAGAAUGGACUAUAUAGGCAAAAACAUGAAGCAUAGAUGUGCUGUUAGUACACGUACCGUAGUGAAAUUUUAGUCAUGAAUGGGUUGGGAGCAUGCACGUGUGCGUGCAGUGCGAUGUGAUGAGCAGCAUAGUAUGAAUCAACGAACAUCUUGUUUGGUAACACUCGACACUACUGGAUCCGCCUUCUUUGCCGAGAGUCGGGAGCCCUCGGCAAAGGCCUAAAAGCCUUCGGCAAAGGCUUUGCCGAGAGCCUGCCACGUGGCUCUCGGCAAAGAAGCUUUCGGCAAAGAAUUCUUUGCCGAGAGCCACGUGGCAGGCUCUCGGAAGACUUUGCCGAAGGCCAGAAGCGCCCUCGGCAAAACCCACAGUCGUCGAGGAACGUCAAUACUAACGUCGUCUUUGCCGAUAGCCGUGCUGGCAGGCUCUCGGCAAAGACUUUUUAUUUUUUUUUAAAAAAAAGUCUUUGCCGAGAGCCUGGCUGGCUGGCUCUCGGCAAAGGGGUCUUUGCCGAGAGCCAUACCGGCAAGCUCUCGGCAAAGACUUUUUUUUUUAAAAAAAAAUGUCUUUGCCGAGAGCCUGUCUGGCUGGCUCUCGGCAAAGGGAGUCUUUGCCGAGAGCCAUACAGGCAGGCUCUCGGCAAAGACUUUUUAUUUUUUUAAAAAAAUUAUCAGAAUUUUGAUGACACUGAUUAGAAUUUAUCAGAAUUUUAAAAAGGAAAAGGUUGCUGCUGCUGUUUUUGUUACAAGAUUAAUCACGAAAUAUCUACAUCCAAGAGCCAAUGGACCUAAUAAGAUCAUUAUCAUAAGCACUACCAAGCAUAAGAUCAGCAACAGCAUCACUGGUUGGUUUACCUGCAUAAUCUCUAUUAUACAAAGUAAUGACAACCAAAUUAGAAUGAUGUUGGUGUAUCCAAAGUAUCAGGUAUAGCAAAUGUAAUGAAUUUCUAAACAUCCUCAGGUUAAUUCACAAACUGGUAAUCAGUUAUUAUGGAGGCAUUUCUGAACCAUAAUGCAUAAGCAAGCUGCUAAGGAAGCUAGUAGUAAAUGAAGCAUCAUGUAUAAACAAGAUCUAAGAAUUAUGGAUAACACCUCCUAAGGUGACUAAACUAUAGGAAAUGAAGUGCAAACAAAAAAAGCAAAUGGACCAAUGGAUAGAGAGAAAGAAAACUGCAUUUUCAUUUGACAACUUCCCUUGGUGUUCUUCAUCAACAUCCAUCCCACUCUUGUUCCCAUCAUCUGGUUUUGGGACUGAAUCUUUCUCUGCAGCUUCUUUACCUUCCACCUGAACAUUUUCUUUCUGGUUAGACUUUUUCCGCUUCUUUUUGGCCUUUUUCUCAUUAUCAUUCUUCACUGUUUCUACAGCACCAUUCUUUUCCUUGGCGCCAUCAGCCUGAGCAGGUGCAUUUUCUGCAUCAGUCUUCUCUGAAGUCUAGCUCAUAAUCAUUGGCUGGCGUGACGAUUACAACCAUAUCAACUAUUGUGGCCCCCUUUGAUAGCAAUAAAAGCAUAUGUUAGAAUUUGCCUGUUGUCUAUUUGCAAACAAAGUUCGCAUUGACUUAAGAAUAUCAUGGCAACAAAUUGCAGUGCAGCGGCACAUGAUAAAAAAAUGCAUACCAUAAUUUCAUGAAAAUACAUCCAGCAAAUCAUCAAUCCAUGAAAAUACCCAAAAUUUUGAGGCCUCCAAAACUUUCAGAUGGGACAGAAGAAAUACCGUGAGAAGCAUUGCAGUCUCAGCUCCUUGAUUGUCUUUAAAAGUAAUGUAGGCAACCUGAGAAAGCUCAUCGCCACUGCACAACACUAUAUAAAAAGACAUCAACGACAUGUCCCCAAGUUUUGUUAUUUUUGAAAUUCAUUUAAAAUUUAUAUAAUUAAAAAUCACAUCAACGACACAUGGAUGGUUAUGUUUCGUAUAAAAGACAUUCAAAUUUUUGGGUGAGUUUAUGGAUAUAGCCUCAAAAUGCACUCUCAAAUAUGAGUAUCAUUUUUCGAAUGGCUAUAUUUUAUUAUUUCAUACACCUGCAGUUCAAAUUUACUUUUUCAAAAAAAUGCAAAGAAAAUAAAUUAAUUUAUGAAAUAUAGCAAAAUGUUAUAAAAAGCUCCCAAAUUUAAACAUGUGCUUGUAUAUAAUAUGCAAAGGCUAUAGAAAAAGUCUAGGUCUAAAAUUUUUAAAAAAAACCUUCACUCUUUGCCGAGGGCAAAUGCAAGCCCAGUCGUUGCCCUCGGCAAAGGCCACCUCUUUGCCGAGAGCCUAAUGACGUGGCUCUCGGCAAAGGUGACGACUACGGCCGCCGUUCACGGCGCGGUACCUUUGCCGAGAGUUUGCCUUUGCCGAGAGCUAAGCUUUCGGCAAAGCUGACCUUUGCCUAGAGCCCCUCUUUGCCGAGAGCCUGACCGUCGGCAAAGGCUCUUUGCCGAGAGGAUGACCUGGCUCUCGGCAAAGGCAGUCUUUGCCGAGGGUCUGGCUCUCGGCAAAGCCAGGCUCUAGGCAAAGCUCGCGUUUCGUGUAGUGCGAUCUUGAGCUAGCCAGAGCAAGAUGGAACUCGUGGUGCUAAUUCUGCCUUCCUUCGAUCGCGACGAUGGAUGUUCCCAAGCAGACUUAGCCAUGGGAGGCGAUAGCACGUCUAUAGACAACCAUGAAGAAUGGUGUCGAUCGAGUUGUAUCUCUAUAGCCUGAAUAAUUAAUAGUAAAUCUUCUGGUAUUAACCACUGUGUGCAUGUAGCAAACGAUCUUCAAAUCUGAAAUUUGACACCACGCAUAGCAAGCUGCAGCCUUGGUUCACGGGCGUAGCAAAUUCACCAAUCGAUUUCCGCCUCCAAGCCACAAGCGCCAAGGUUCUGCAACUUGCUGCCCUCAAGUCGCGUGCAACAGCAGACAACUCCAUGCCGACCAUGCCUGAACAGCGGAAGCCCAGCAGCAGAAGGAGCAGGUUUUGUAGAUUGGGCCGUGUUUAGUUCCUAGAAAAUUUUGCAAAAUUUUUUAGAUUUUUUGUCACAUCGAAUCUUUAGACGCAUGCAUGAAGUAUUAAAUAUAGACAAAAAUAAAAACUAAUUGUACAGUUUGAUCGAAAUUGACGAGACGAAUCUUUUAACCUAGUUAGUCCAUGAUUGGACAAUAUUUGUCAAAUACAAACGAAAGUGUCACUAUUUAUAUUUUGCAAAAAAAAAUUUAGAAGUAAACAAGGCCUUGUUUUCUCCGGCUCGAAAUCGACUGCGCCUCUGUCCGGUACUUUAGAAGCUUUGACUUGGACUCGGCGGCGUUGCACCAACAAAUGAAAAAAAAAGGAUUUCCAUCCUCGAUUCUGCCAUAACAGAGGCAGCGCGAAGGCACUGAUCAGACAGCAUGGUUUGACAACAGAGCAACGGCAAAUAACGAAUUCCGACGGCGGCGGUGGUUGAUGAAUACAGUAGAGAAUAAAACCCUAGUUUUUUUUAAUCUCAUGUCUGGCUCUUUAUUUAUAGGAGUUAUUUCAUAUGGGUGUUGAGCAUUAAAAAUAGAAAUUUUAUUAUUUUCGAAAUUAAUUAAUUUCAUAGAUAAAAUAAUAUCAGAAAAAUCUAGAAUGAUUAUUUAAUCCGCAGAAAGAAUACUCCAAAAGCUCCAAAAAUUUAGAGAAAAUUAUCAAAGACAUUAUGGAAAAUGAGAAACACAUGUAAAGUAAGAGCUCAUGAUGAGAUAAUUUGGAGCAUCUAAAAAUUAGAUUAUGCUCACAGAUAAGUGGGAACAAGUUCUAGAAAAAAUGCUGAAAUAAUUUUCGGUAAGUUUUUUAGAGAUUGAUUGAUGGAUGAGGAACUGAAAGAAGUGAUUUGAGUGACAAAGAAAAUAUUUUUGGGAAUCUUCCAAUGAAAACUUGAGAAACAAGGACUUUAACUAUAGGAAAAGAUAAAGGCGUGCCGGAGAAAGAAGACUGACCUACUAAACGCAUUUUAAACAUUUUUCUCACUCUCAACACACAAAGAAGCAACAAGCAAACAUCAACUCAUAUGCAUCAACAUGUAUGCACAAUAAUGUUACUAAGCCUUAAGAUAAAUUUUAAUUUAAUAAAAAAUAUUAUUUUUCCAAUAUUUUCAUGACCACAAAAUUACAUAAUUAAAUCAUUUUAGACCUAUUUCAAAAGAUGCAAAUUUUAGGGUGUUACAUCCUCCUUGUUAGCAGAUUGAGUUGACCGCUCAAUCUGUUGAGUGUGUUUUUCUAGGGUAUAGUCCUAAGCAUAAGUUUUAUCGGUGUUAUGACCCUACCUCUCAUCGUAUAUGUAUCUCCCAUGAUGUUAGUUUUAUUGAGGAUCGCUCUUUCUUUUACAACCCAUCUACUAAACCUUUAUACCGGCCAUCGUCGAGGUUACACUACUCCCUCCAUCCUAAGUUAUAAGUUAUUUUAACUUUCUUGGAGAGUCAAAAUAUCUCAAGUUUGAUUAAAAUUUACAUAUAUUAAAAUAAUAACACUUAUGAUAAUAAAUAUUUAGCAUUUGAAUCUUCAUUAAUUAUAUUUUCACGAUAUUCCUAUUUGAUAUCAUAAAUCUUUGUAAUUUUCUAUAUAAUUUUGGUCAAAAUUUGAGAUGCUUUGACUCUUCAAGAAAGUUGGAAUACCUUAUAAUUUGGAAUGGAGGAAGAAACAUUUAUCUACACCAUCAUAAGGCGUAUGUUCUAGUGGUUAUUAAUUAGGGAUCUAAAUUUGUACAACCAUCAAAAUAUGUGAUGACCAUGAGGAGACGUUUUAGGCCGGUGGCCAUUGAAUUAGCAGAGUCCAAAGCAUACCAACUUCUCACAUCAGCAACAGAUGAGCCAAAUGAAGAACACACGAACCGCACGGUACACAUAUAAUGAUAUAGCAUGACUACAUGAGACCAAACCAACGAAAUCAAUUUUUUCUCUUGGAAAAUGUGUUGCGGGGACAGAGUGACACGCAUGACUACAGAAUACUGAAAAAGUGUAACACACAACCAACCGACCCUAGCUGAUUAGCAACUUCGCUCAUACAUUAUUCGAGAAAGAAAAAACUUCCCUCAUACAGGGGAACAUAACAGAGAACAAAACAAUUAUAGGACGUGCAUCCUUAUUCUUUUUUAUUAGGUAACGCGCCUCCUUAUUCAAAGCUAAAUCAUGACUCAGCAUUGUCACGACACAGAUGCAGGGACCAGGGGCAACGCAAAUUAAAAUCAGGCAUAGAGGCACUCAACAACCGGAUGUGGCGUCAAGGCAGACCCAUUGGCCGAUAAAGAGGUUGUCGCAGCAGAUGUUGGGGUUGAAGCUGAGGAAGUUGUCCAGGGUCAGACCCACGCCCUGCGCCAAGCAAUAGCAUGUCUCGCCCUCCUGCACCCCGUGCACCUUGUUGCAAGUCAGCUCUGACUUCGGCUCAGGCUCAGGCUCAGGCUUCGGCUCUGGUUUUGGCUCCUCACAGUGGUCGUCGCAGGUUGGCGGCUCCGGCUCUGGUUCACAUUUGUCGUCGUCACAAGUUGGCUUCGGCUCCGACAUCUCCGGUGAUGCAGCAUCUGCCAUGUAACAUGUGGUAUUUCAUUCAUUUGGCACACAUGCUUAUCAUACGGUCCGAAAAUGAUGCACAAAGAUGCGUUUCAUGCCGGAUGAUUGCUUGGACGACAGGUUAUAGCAUGUAGCUGCAUACCUUGUCCAUGCGCGUCAUGGUGGAGGGCUGUUGUCUUAUUGGGACCCUCGGUGGGCUUUGCGGCGGCGGCCCUAGAGAUGGCGACCACCAUGAAGAGGGACAUGAUUAGGAGGAUGACAGCAGCGGCACGAGGGUUUGCCAUUGUGAGUGCUGCCACUUGAACCGUGCAAGCAG
rnacentral:lncRNA from 1 species